UUAAUUGAAGCCAAAAAGAGGCUUGUCACUGUUAAUGACAUUAUUGAAACUAAUUUCCAAUUAAA
rnacentral:tRNA from 1 species